rnacentral:rRNA from 1 species
AUUGAACGCUGGCGGCAGGCCUAACACAUGCAAGUCGAGCGGAUGAAGGGAGCUUGCUCCUGGAUUCAGCGGCGGACGGGUGAGUAAUGCCUAGGAAUCUGCCUGGUAGUGGGGGAUAACGUCCGGAAACGGGCGCUAAUACCGCAUACGUCCUGAGGGAGAAAGUGGGGGAUCUUCGGACCUCACGCUAUCAGAUGAGCCUAGGUCGGAUUAGCUAGUUGGUGGGGUAAAGGCCUACCAAGGCGACGAUCCGUAACUGGUCUGAGAGGAUGAUCAGUCACACUGGAACUGAGACACGGUCCAGACUCCUACGGGAGGCAGCAGUGGGGAAUAUUGGACAAGUGGCGAAAGCCGGAUCCAGCCAUGCCGCGUGAUUGAAGAAGGUCUUCGGAUUGUAAAGCACUUUAAGUUGGGAGGAAGGGUAGUAAGUUAAUACCUUGCUGUUUUGACGUUACCAACAGAAUAAGCACCGGCUAACUUCGUG